GACGAACCGUGCGAACGUUAUUCGGAAUCACUGGGCUUAAAGCGCGUGUAGGCGGAUGGGAACGUCGGUAGUUGAAAGCCCCCCGGCUCAACCGGGGAAGUGGUGCCGAAACGACCCGUCUGGAGGGACGUAGGGGGGACCUGGAACUUCCGGUGGAGCGGUGAAAAUGCGUUUGAGAUCGGAAGGAACGCCCGUGGCGAAAGCGAGGUCCUGGACGUCUAC
rnacentral:rRNA from 1 species